CAGCUGUGCAGUGGAAUCAAUACAUGGGAAAACAGAAAAACAACCCCCAAACUGAAUGACCGAGCCUUCCCUCCCAGCCACACUCCCUACUUCAGAGCUGCUCUGGGCACAUACUCAGGGCUGCUCUGGGGCCGUUGCCCUCUCCUGACAUUUGGAGAGAGGAGCUGGGAAGAAGAAGGAGGGGAUAAGGAAAUGAAUGCUGCCAGAAGGGCUGCCCCAAUCUGUGGUCACCGGGUGCCAAGAGAGAUGGUAUUUUCAAGGCAGAUGGUUUAUAUGCAUUAUCACCCAUUAUCCCUCCUACUGGACUCCCAAAACGUCCCAGAAGCUUGUGGAGGCUGCUUUGGCAGCAGUCAGGCAAGAAUGAGGAGGGAGCCCUCAUCCUGACCUUGAGAAGGAACAGACCAGGAGCAGAUUAGCAAGGAAAGGGAAAAAGGGCAAAAUGGGAGUAGUUGUCCCCUUGCCCUGGCAGGGAGCAUAACAGAUGGAGCCAGACCAUGAAGAAGACAGACAACUACCCGGGAAAUAACUGGACCAUCAGGGCUGGCCAAAUUGAAAACAACAUAGCAUAAAGGACAUAGCACUGCACAGAUCUCUUGAUUCCAAUUUCUGUUACUCCUUAAGUUGGGCAAACCUCUUUCCCUUUAACCUCAUUUUCUUCUUCCAUAAAAUAAGGGAAUUGAGCUAGAGGAGAUCUGUAGCCCCUUUCAAUUCUGAAAUCCUAUGAUGGUACAAAGGGAGACAGCAGGAAAUACUGGAAAGACUGCUGAACUUGGG
rnacentral:lncRNA from 1 species